AGGUAGAGGGGUUUUAGUCGGUAGCUUCGAGGACAUCUUUCUCGGGAAUCCGACACUACCCAGUCGUACGGACGGCUGGGUGUCUUUUGAAGAUUUCCCUUCUUCC
rfam:Agrilus planipennis Contig63730, whole genome shotgun sequence.